GCCGGACGCGUUCCGGCUCUGUAAUGCAGCCGUAGCCGGUUCCAAGCCCGGAAAAUGCAGAGGACAGA
rnacentral:ribozyme from 1 species